ACUCAAAGGAAUAGACGGGGACCCGCACAAGCGGUGGAGCGUGUGGUUUAAUUCGACGCUAAGCGAAGAACCUUACCAGGGCUUGACAUCUAGCUGCUUGCUCUAGGAAACUAGAGCGUCCUUCGAGGGUGCUAGACAGGUGCUGCAUGGUCGUCGUCAGCUCGUGUCGUGAGAUGUUGGGUUAAGUCCCGCAACGAGCGCAACCCUUGUCGUGUGUUGUAUUUUUCACGCGAGACUGCCUCGGUCAACGAGGAGGAAGGUGGGGAUGACGUCAGAUCAGCAUGGCCCUUAUGCCCUGGGCGACACACGCGCUACAAUGGCCGGUACAACGGGACGCGAAAUCGCAAGAUGGAGCUAAUCCCAUCAAAGCCGGUCCCAGUUCGGAUUGGAGUCUGCAACUCGACUCCAUGAAGUCGGAAUCGCUAGUAAACGCGGAUCAGCCACGCCGCGUUGAAUACGUUCUCGGGUCUUGUACACACCGCCCGU
rnacentral:rRNA from 1 species